rnacentral:rRNA from 1 species
UACGGAGGGUGCAAGCGUUAUCCGGAUUCACUGGGUUUAAAGGGUGCGUAGGUGGGCAAGUAAGUCAGUGGUGAAAUCUCCGGGCUUAACCCGGAAACUGCCAUUGAUACUAUUUGUCUUGAAUACUGUGGAGGUCAGCGGAAUAUGUCAUGUAGCGGUGAAAUGCUUAGAUAUGACAUAGAACACCAAUUGCGAAGGCAGCUGGCUACACAAAUAUUGACACUGAGGCGCGAAAGCGUGGGGAGCAAACAGG